rnacentral:lncRNA from 1 species
CCGGCCCCCACUCACCCGCCCGGUUGAUCUCCACCACCUCCUCCUGUGCCAAGGGGCAGGCGUCGCGGGCCGGGGGUCUCCGGGGGGGCCGGGGGCUGCCGGGCGGGUUUUGGGCUGCGGGCUGGGGGGCCGCAGCGGCGGUGGGGGCCGCAGGGGGGCCAUAACCGGGCGAACCGGGCUGGGGGGGCCGCGGGAUAUGCUUGUUCUUCUUCUUGGGCAGCUUCUGCUUGGCCAUGGCCAAAGAGUAGUACAUGCCGAAGUUGUUGACAAUGACGGGGACGGGCAUGGCGAUGGUGAGGACCCCCGCCAGGGCGCACAGGGCCCCCACCAGCAUCCCCGACCACGUCAUGGGGUACAUGUCCCCGUAGCCCAGCGUCGUCAUCGUCACCACCGCCCACCAGAAGCCGAUGGGGAUGUUCUUGAAGUAGGUGUGCCGGCUCCCCGUCACGUCGUCGGGGUCGGCGCCGAUGCGCUCGGCGUAGUAGAUCAUGGUGGCGAAGAUGAGGACGCCCAGCGCGAGGAAGAUGACGAGGAGCAGGAACUCGUUGGUGCUGGCCCGCAGCGUGUGGCCCAGCACCCGCAGCCCCACAAAGUGCCGCGUCAGCUUGAAGAUGCGCAGGAUGCGGACGAAGCGGACGACGCGCAGGAAGCCCAGCACGUCCUUGGCCGCCUUGGAGGAGAGGCCCCGCAGCCCGACCUCCAGGUAGAAGGGCAAGAUGGCCACGAAGUCGAUGAUGUUGAGGCUGCUCUUGACGAAAUCCCGCUUGUCCGGGCAGAAGCUGACGCGCAUGAGGAACUCGAAGGUGAACCAGACCACGCAGGUGCCCUCCACGUAGGUGAGGAAGGGCUCGGUCUCCACCUCCACUGCCACCUGCGUCCCCGUCCCGUUGCCCACCGCCACUGUCUCCGUCUUGUUGAUGACCCGGUUGAAGGCCUCGUGGGUCUCCAGGCAGAAGGUGGUGAUGGAGAUGAGGAUGAAGAAGAGCGAGGCAAAGGCCACGUACUGCGGGGAGGAAGGGUGGGGGGAGUGAGAGGGGGUCCCGAGACCCUCGACCCCAAUAAAAUGCCCCCUGACCCCAAAAAACCACCCCCCGACCCCAAUAAACCGUGGAGGAAACCACGGGGAGG